UUGAAAGGGAAACGAUUGAAGUCAGUCGUACCAGCGGGAAAUCAACCUUUCGAGUGGUGGUUUUGGAGUUUUUUGAAGAGUGUCAAAACCUUUGAGAUUUCAAAAUAUUCGCUCUUUUGGUGUACUUUCUCGUGGGUAGGUUAACAUCGAUUUUGAUCAUCAUAAAAAGAUUGGAGGAAUGUAGCUUCGAUCUUGUAUUGAAGUGUUAUAGCCUUUGGUAAAUGUGAUGAUUAGGAUCGAGGAUUGCAACGAAUACCCUUUUGGGCUAUCCGCCUGAUCUCUGAUACGUGGCCUUGGUAUCGAAAGCGUGCUUAUGGUAUUGAGGUAUUACGGUCAAAAGGUUAGAACGGAUUACAUUCGUUAAGGAUGUUGACGUA
rnacentral:rRNA from 1 species